GUGCCAGCCGCCGCGGUAACACGUAGGAGGCGAGCGUUAUUCGGAUGUACUGGGCGUAAAGCGCGUGUAGGCGGCUUUAUAAGUUGGAUGUGAAAGCUCCCGGCUUAACUGGGAGAGGACGUUCAAAACUAUAGAGCUUGAGUACGAGAGAGGAAAAUGGAAUUCCGGUUGUAGUGGUGAAAUGCGUAGAUAUCCGGAGGAACACCAGUGGCGAAGGCGAUAUUCUGGCUCGAGACUGACGCUCAGACGCGAAAGCUAGGGUAUCAAGCGGGAUUGGAGACCCCGGCAGUCCUAGCUAUAA
rnacentral:rRNA from 1 species